rnacentral:rRNA from 1 species
AGAGUUUGAUCACUGGCUCAGAGUGAACGCUGGCGGCAGGCCUAAUACAUGCAAGUCGAACGGCAGCACAGCAGAGCUUGCUCUGUGGGUGGCGAGUGGCGGACGGGUGAGGAAUACGUGGGAAUCUGCCCAGCCGUGGGGGAUAACGUAGGGAAACUUACGCUAAUACCGCAUGCGCCCUUCGGGGAAAGCCGGGGACCUUCGGGCCUGGCGCGAUUGGAUGAGCCCACGUCGGAUUAGCUAGUUGGCGGGGUAAAGGCCCACCAAGGCGACGAUCCGUAGCUGGUCUGAGAGGAUGAUCAGCCACACUGGAACUGAGACACGGUCCAGACUCCUACGGGAGGCAGCAGUAGGGAAUAUUGGACAAUGGGCGCAAGCCUGAUCCAGCCAUGCCGCGUGAGUGAAGAAGGCCCUCGGGUUGUAAAGCUCUUUUGUCCGGAAAGAAAAGCGCCGGGUUAAUACCCUGGUGUCCUGACGGUACCGGAAGAAUAAGCACCGGCUAACUUCGUG